AUUGAACGCUGGCGGCAUGCCUUACACAUGCAAGUCGAACGGCAGCACGGGAGCAAUCCUGGUGGCGAGUGGCGAACGGGUGAGUAAUAUAUCGGAACGUGCCCAGUCGUGGGGGAUAACGUAGCGAAAGCUACGCUAAUACCGCAUACGAUCUAUGGAUGAAAGCGGGGGAUCGCAAGACCUCGCGCGAUUGGAGCGGCCGAUAUCAGAUUAGGUAGUUGGUGAAGUAAAGGCUCACCAAGCCGACGAUCUGUAGCUGGUCUGAGAGGACGACCAGCCACACUGGGACUGAGACACGGCCCAGACUCCUACGGGAGGCAGCAGUGGGGAAUUUUGGACAAUGGGCGCAAGCCUGAUCCAGCAAUGCCGCGUGCAGGAUGAAGGCCUUCGGGUUGUAAACUGCUUUUGUACGGAACGAAACGGCGAGCUCUAAUACAGUUUGCUAAUGACGGUACCGUAAGAAUAAGCACCGGCUAACUACGUGCCAGCAGCCGCGGUAA
rnacentral:rRNA from 1 species